rnacentral:rRNA from 1 species
UACGUAGGGUGCAAGCGUUAAUCGGAAUUACUGGGCGUAAAGCGUGCGCAGGCGGUUGUGCAAGACAGAUGUGAAAUCCCCGGGCUUAACCUGGGAACUGCGCUUGUAACUGGCAAGCUAGAGUGUGGCAGAGGGGGGUGGAAUUCCACGUGUAGCAGUGAAAUGCGUAGAGAUGUGGAGGAACACCGAUGGCGAAGGCAGCCCCCUGGGCUAACACUGACGCUCAUGCACGAAAGCGUGGGGAGCAAACAGG